rnacentral:lncRNA from 1 species
UGGAUAAGGAGCGUGCACUGGAGAGAUUUGGAGAUGCAUUCUGCUUAGCUCGUCAAUCGAUGAGGAGCGCACAUUCGACAAACUCUAUAAAAAUAUCUAGAUCUACAAGAUAGAGACUUUGAUUGCUAAUUCAAUGAAAAUUAUAAUUCAAGGAUAGCAAAUACAUAGAUUGUUAGAGUUCCAUCUAGCCGAUGAAGUCGAUACGCUCUCGAUCGCACCACUUCAUCAAUGCGAGAUGGGAUUUCCUAGUUUAGUGCAAGCU